GGGUGAGUUAAAAAGCAGGAGUGAGUUCGACGAAAGGCAGGUGAGCUCGACGACAAGCUCACCUGCUCUAAACCAAUCAGAAAGCCGCUUUUAACACAGGUAUUGGAUAAAAGUGGAAAACUGGCUUUAGCAUACAUACAGAAAUGGAAUUUAAAGUCGUCUGAACAAAUAAAGUCGGUCCUAUUAGAACUAUGCAAAGUAAAGUUUAUCGACUAUCCUGAUUUUGCUCUAAUCUUUGCUGUUGUGGUGAUCUUGCGUACGGGGUGAAUCUAUUAAAACGUCAGGACGAAGUUCGUUGCUCUCACCUCAGCAAGUGGUAACUCUGUGCCCCGGUUGCCCACAACUGAACUGACAAACGACCCUCCCAGCCCUGGACUGGCCAGACGGAAUUGGCCUAUUGAGGUUCUGAGACUGAGCGGAGGAAACACGGUGAUCGAAGGCUUGAAAAUGAUCGUAUGGCUUUGACAGGUUGGAACGUAAGGUUAAAGCACGGUACGUCGAGGAAAGAUGCCUUCGAUUCGCCGGGGCGGCGUGCUUCAAGAACUGCAGCUUCAGCCAUCGUGACGGCGUGAUAUUUAUUAAAGUCCGAUACACUUCGCAGGCCAUAUGUUGAUAACUGUCGCAUGUGGAUUGAAAAAUCCGGACGGGAUUGACUCCCCAAUGUCUCUACCCGUUUUAGCAGCGUAGAUAUGUCGGACUGGCAGUGUAUAUAAGAAAAUAUUAAAUUUCACAUAUACAGAGAUACAUGCAGCAUCCAAUUUGACUAGUUGUG